GUGUGACUGGGAAGGCUGGUGGUGGGGCUUGAUUCUGUCAGGGUUGGUCCUGACAGAGAAAAGUGUUGCAUCAUAAACAUCAAGAUCUGUGAUGGCUUUUUGUAACACAGAAAUUCAAGCAAUUUUAUGAAGGGGUUUUGUACCGUAGGGUACAGUACUCUAAAACGGCCAGGAGAUGUCACUUAAUACAGAUAACAAGACAUGCUGGGGUUUUGGUGUGUGUUGCGUGCACACGUGCGUGUUGACAGCUGUGGCGUGUCGAGCGGUAGGAAAAGAAAAAGAGGGCAGGAAACGAGUAUACACGUCCGUGCAGCUUCACCCGUCUGACGACGAGUAGACAGUAUGGAAAACAGAGUUGGCUUAACAGAAAGAACAGUGCAGCAUUUGUCUUUCAAGGAUGUCCAGUGUUAAACUGAGGAGUCCUGAACUGCUGUGGGCUGAUGACAUUUCUCGCCCUAGUCGGUGUGGGCGUCUCUUCAGUCAAGUGCAAUGGGUGUUUGCACUCCUUUUUUGUAUUCCAUCUAGCAAAUGCCUCUUCUGCAUUUUAUGAUUGUUCACAUGUGUAUCACCCCCCGCGUGUUUGUGUGCAUGUUUACGACAUCAACCCUGAUUGAAACACAACAACAGGAUCUCCGGUCCUGGGGUCGUUAAAGCUCCGUCACAUUAGGUGUCAACAAAAGGAAGCCCUUGCGUCUCCACCUAUAGUCUUUGUCACACAGUAUCUCCGUAAAACAACAAAACCCCCCUCUUAGUCCUUAGCCCCAAGAUAAGGGUCUUAAAUGUUUACUCAGCAUUCAGAUUUGGGGUUAGGCCUUUCUUUGCACCCAAGUAAUACUGAACACAGAAUCAUUCGUAUACAGAAUAACAGUUACAUCUUCAAUUUUUCCAACAGAAGUGGUUUGACUUAUAAAAGCAGCUGUUUGGUUUUCUGCUUUUCUGUCAUGGUUACCGUCACCAUCUUAGGUCCUAAAGAAUGAGGCAGUGUUUUCAAGAUGUUUAUAAGGCUCUGUUGGAUGAGGGCUCUGCUGUCUGCCACACUGAUGACAAGACUUGCUGGGUUGUAACAGGUCUACUUUACUUCAGUGUACAAUACAUGGUUAAUGUUGACUCCAUCCACCCCCAGUAUUUCAGAAUUUUUGUAUGAUGCAUGAUGUUGCACAGGUUGACUCUGCUAUUUAAUUGUUCCAUGAACCAAUGUUGCUGACUUGCCUGUUAGUUAGCCAGCAUAUUUGACCUCUCAACCUUUCCAUAUUGGACUUUCAUUGGAAAAUGGCACUGACUUAAAUUAUAUAUGUGAUAUCCUAUGUGAAGGCCAUGGGGUUAAUAUUGGAGUCCUGUCACAGUUCUUGUGACAGGUUUCCUGCUGACUGGCUUUACUGACACAAUAUCCUGUAGGGAGAGUCACUGCUCCCAUACUGAGUAUUGGUAGAUCUGGCGCUUCAGAAUACUUGCGUUAAUUGUCUGCUUUUCUGUCAUGGUUUCUGUCACCAUCUUGGGUCCUAAAGAACGAGGCAGAGUUCACAAGAUGUUUAUAAGACUCUGUUGGAUGAGGCCUAUGCUGAGGCCUUGCUGGGUUUUAGUAGAGCCGUUCUUCAACCUUGUAUAUUGAAGUACACUGAAACAUUCUGAAAAAAGACAAAGAAGAAGUCGGCGGAACAGAGUUUAGAGUCCCAACAACAGAGGUGGAGGCGAGAAAAUGUGUCCUGUUUGGCGGCCUUUCAUCGGGUAUUAGCGACAAAAGAAAGUCGGCGGAGUGGAAAACUGUCACCAUU